rnacentral:rRNA from 1 species
UACGGAGGGUGCAAGCGUUAUCCGGAUUCACUGGGUUUAAAGGGUGCGUAGGAGGGCAGGUAAGUCAGUGGUGAAAUCUUCGAGCUUAACUCGGAAACUGCCGUUGAUACUAUCUGUCUUGAAUACCGUGGAGAUGAGCGGAAUAUGUCAUGUAGCGGUGAAAAUGCUUAGAUAUGACAUAGAACACCAAUUGCGAAGGCAGCUUACUACACAAAUAUUGACGCUGAGGCACGAAAGCGUGGGGAUCAAACAGG